UAGGGAAUCUUCGGCAAUGGGGGCAACCCUGACCGAGCAACGCCGCGUGAGUGAAGAAGGUUUUCGGAUCGUAAAGCCCUGUUGUAAGUCAAGAACGAGUGUGAGAGUGGAAAGUUCACACUGUGACGGUAGCUUACCAGAAAGGGACGGCUAACUACGUGCCAGCAGCCGCGGUAAUACGUAGGUCCCGAGCGUUGUCCGGAUUUAUUGGGCGUAAAGCGAGCGCAGGCGGUUUGAUAAGUCUGAAGUUAAAGGCUGUGGCUCAACCAUAGUUCGCUUUGGAAACUGUCAAACUUGAGUGCAGAAGGGGAGAGUGGAAUUCCAUGUGUAGCGGUGAAAUGCGUAGAUAUAUGGAGGAACACCGGUGGCGAAAGCGGCUCUCUGGUCUGUAACUGACGCUGAGGCUCGAAAGCGUGGGGAGCGAACAGGAUUAGAUACCCUGGUAGUCCACGCCGUNNCGAUGAGUGCUAGGUGUUGGAUCCUUUCCGGGAUUCAGUGCCGCANCUNACGCANUAAGCACUCCGCCUGGGGGAGUACGGCCGCAAGGUUG
rnacentral:rRNA from 1 species